UUCUUCAGUCACACGUAAUGACUAUGCAAAACUAUUAAACCUUCAACACUUCAACAAUGGCGAGCACCACCAACACACUUCUCUGUAUCCGCCCUCAACUCCAAUGUUUCCUCCCACAACAGCUCUAUCAUAUGUGAGGAUUACUAGCGAAGGUGGCCUGAGAUAGAGACAAAGGGGGGUAGGGGUGGAGUACGGAGGAAGUUCACAAAUUCAUCAAUCGAGGUUCAAGAUAAUAAUGUUAAUAAAGAUAGAUAAUAAUGUUAUAUUUGUUAAGAGAGUUCAGAGAUACAUAAAAAUACUGUAUAUGAUUGAAAAGAACAAGGAGAUACAUCACGCGAUCCUCCAUCAAAUGAACAAAAUUUAUAUAUCUUACUAAAUAUUAGGUUACAAAUACAUAAGAAAAGAUGAUGUCUUUGGUUGAACUCUAACCAAAAUCAUAUAUCGAAAUGAUUUUUGUGCUACUGAUAUAUAAUACUUAUGUAUCUGAUUAUAUUUUUGUGAUACUAAUACAAAAGAGCUAUGUAUCAGGAAAGUUAUGUGUCUGAGCCUCAAUAAUGUAUCACAAAAAUUAAAACUCAAAAUUUUAUGUAAUUACCAAAAUCAUGUGAGAAAUUCAAUAAGCUUUCCAUCUAUAUAAGAUUCGCCCAAAUUCAAUAACCGGGUCAGAAGUUACGACUAUUUCAAGUUUCCAUCAUAAAACAGUACCAUAUCAGUCUGUGGCGAGCCGCGCCAGAAAGAGAAAUGGCAUUUGGCAAAUUCCAGUAGGGUUCUGUAAUUAUGGCGCAUCGCGCUAGGGCCCAAAUUCAGAAUUGUCCUUUUCCAGUGUCUCGGCGUGAUUUUCUCUGCGUCGCGCCAAAGUUUAAGAUCACAAAAGAAGGGGAAACACGAUGGCUCCGCGUUGCGCCAUCCCUCAGUUUCCUAAUUGUUAAAUUCCAGUGACACAGUGCGAUAGCGCCACAUCGUUCCAGGGGUUCAGUUCGGGAAAAUUUUACUGAAAUUAAAUGGCGCAUCCAGGGUUAAAGGGGUCAACUUCCCACCCUUAUUUAAGCCCUUUAAUGCAUGAUUCAGCCACUUUUCACCUAAAAUACACUCUCUUCUCUUGAAAACCUCUCAAGAACAAGCUAGGAUUUUCAUAGAAGAUCCAAUUCCAAGAAAGUUUCUCCAUCAAUCUUCACAAAAUCACGAACUAAGGUAUGCAUAGUGUUCAUUCAUGGACUCCUUUUAUCCAUGAAGCCCAAGAAUUUCUUUUCUAAAGUCAAGAUUUUAGAUUUUCUUUAUGAACUUCAUGUUGGGUUUAUUUUAUUUAUGUUGAGAAUGAUCAAUUAAAUUCAAAUUCAUGUUGGGUGAUUAAUGGUAUGUGGAAUUGAUUUGUAUAGAUAUAUAUUCAUGUGAACCUGUGACUAAACCUUUGAAUGAUGAAAUUAGAAGUUGAACCAUGAUGUGUAAUUUUUGAAUAAUGGUGUCUACAUAUAUUAUGCCUAUCAGGUGUUUGAUUAAAUGCCUAGAUGAAGGAAAAAUGCCUAACUAGCAUGAUACCAUGAAAUCCCCAUGUAUGUACAAGUUAUGCCUAUCACAUGUUUUGAUGAAAUACCUCUAUAAAUGUAUUAUGGAUUAUGAUGUUAGUUAUAUUUUCAAGUAAGUUAUGCUUGGUCAGUUUCCUUCCAUCGAGUCCUGGGGGUACUCGUACCAGAAACAUUAGUUGUGUGCCUAGAACCAUGUCAUUUUUUCAAGAUACUCUCGGUCAAGCUAUGAAUCCUUAGACUUCAGACAGUUUUAUGACUCAGGAAAUCUCCAUGAUCUCAUGAACUCAGUCAGUUGUCAGAUAUCAGUAAUAUUUGGUCAGUCAAAAAAAAUUCAGUAACUCAGUACAUGUUCAGUUCAGUAAAUUAUGUUCAAUGUCUAUUCAGAUGGGAGUAGAAAUUAGCACCGAGUGAACCCAAGGAUGGAAACUCACCUAUUAUAUGAGGGUGUGAUUCUUAGAAGAAAUCUUUGCGUUACAGAACUAUAUAGCCAGCAUAGGUUUAGACAUCAUAGCCUGCUAUAUGAGGGUAGAUGAGAUGGCUUAGCUUGCUAUAUAAGGGUUCCCACCAUUCUCACUAGAGUUACCUUUUAUAUUAGGGUCACUCAUAUGUUGUCCUUACCAGUGGCGUGGUAUUGACACCCUUCCAAUCAGGGCAUAGAUUGGACCCCUAUUCAGCUAUAAUGCAUCAUUUUGGGCAUGUUGGUUAGAUGAAUACCUCCCACAGUUUCAAUAUCAUCUCAAUAAAAGAACUCAGAUAGUUCUUCAGAAUUUAGGACUGUCAGAUACAGUUAACUCAGACACAGUACGAAACUCAGAUAGUUCCAUCAGAUUCAGGACUGUCAGAUACAAUUACUUAUGUUAUCAUUUAUAUUCAGAUUCAGUAAUCAUGUUAUCACAGCAUUAGUCUCAGUUGUUAUGUCUUAUGCAUGUAUUCUCACGCUCAUGAUAGUUAGUCGGUUAUUAUUAUUGUUCAUGCAUAUGAACCCCAUGCAUUCAGCCUACCUCACAUACAUACCAGUAUAUUCAAAGUACUGAAGCAUUUGCGCUAUGGUGUCUUAUACCAUAGGCUCAGAGACACGAACUCUCGAGUAAUAGUAGAUUCCAGAUAUCCGCAGACAGAUUUAAAAGUGAGUCCUCAUCUUUUGAGGACAUGAUUAUUUCCCUAUAAUCUUAUUAAUCAGUUUAUUAGUUGGAGUUAGUUGGGGACAUGUCCCAUCAACUCCUUACUCAGACAAUUCAAUCAGUUAGAAGCUUUCUAGACUAUCAUAUUUCAGACUUCAGUAUGUUCAAUUUUGUUUUGGAUAUUCUACUACUCCACACAGAUGUUAUAUUAUUCAGAUUAUGUUCAGUUAUGAACCUUACAGCCUUUUAGUUUAUGUUUCCACAUUAUUCAGUAUUUUAUGCAGUAUAUAGGUACAGAUAUCAGUCAUGGGUUAGCUUGUGCUCCUUCGAGGUCAUGAGCACCGUGUAGCAUUCUGAGUAUCAAAUUUGGGGCGUUACAAAAAGGGAUUUUAAAUUGAGGUCAUGCUCAAUCGCAUGAUAUGAACACAGAAAGAAGGGAAACUUUUCCUAAAAUGUCUUAUAGCUUCUUGCCCAUAAGUAUGGUGCACUUCACAACCAUGUAUAAGACUCUACUCAAUAUGGAUUUCUGGCUACCUAGGAUACUUUAAAACCAUAGGUUCUGAUACUAAGUUUGUAAUGCCUUGAGAGUACACCCUGGACGCCACACGGUGCCUACAUCCCCGAGGGACGACAAGCUAACCCAUGUUUGUACAUACUGUAAGCACUAAAUAAAAUAAUAGAGAACAUGUGUGAAGUUUAACCAAAAAUGCCAUAAGGUUUGAAAUACGAAAACAAUACUAAAUCGAAAUACUAAAAACAUCCGUCUAAAAAUAAUACUGUAAGACUAUCAAUAACAACUGAUAACUGAAUAACUGAUGGAAAGUAUCCGAAAGCCUCUAACCGACUAACUGUGGAGUUGAUGGGACAAGUCCCCAACUAACUUUGACUGACUAUUGAACUGAACUGAAAUAAACACAAAUGGUCCUCGGAACAUAAGGACUCACCACUGCUACUACUGCGGAUACACUGGGGAGAUUUAGGUGCGGUUAGGAACCUGAGCAUCGAACUUAUGAUAUGAGACAUCAUAGAGAAAAAAACGAGUAUGUUGUAAGUAUUUUGAAUUUACUGGUAUGCUAAAUAAGAUUAGGUGGACGUGCAUGGUUCAUAUGCAUGAAUGAUACUAGAUGAACACGUAGCAUGUGUAACUGAUGUAUAGUAUGCAAGAAAUAUUGUAAAAUCUGAGAAUGCAUGACCAAGCAUAUGACAUAAUACUGAAAUAGUCUGUAAACUUAAAUACUGAAAUACUGAUGCUGAACAACUAAUAACUGUAUGUCAUAGUCAAUCAUGUCUGAAAAUUGAACACUAGACUGAGACUAUAGGAGAUAUUAUCUAACCGAUAUGCUCCAAUAAGGUGAAUUGGGGUCCAACCUGUAAUCCCAAUUGGAAGGGUGUUAGUACCGUACCGAGUGUACUAACACUGGCUAUGUGGAUCAACUAAAGUGUUGUGCCAAAAGACUAAGGGUCACCCUCAAUUGGAAGGGCCGUAAUGAGAUAUGUGUCAACCCUCAACUGGCAGGUUAACGUCUCAACAUACAUUCGCUACAUAGUUCUAAAAUGUAGGCACUGCUACUAAAGGUCACACCCUCAACUGGCAGGUGAGCCCCCUAAUUACUGGACUGAACUGAGCUGACUGACAUGAUGCACUGACUGAACUGAUAAUACACUAAUAUAUUCUGAACCCUUCUGAAAGUAUUUAAACUAAGUAAACAACUAAGUGUUGGGGUAUUCAUAACCCCUAGGACUUGAUACUAAUUUCAAUAAGAUCAUAGGAAAGCAUUUGAAACCAUAAUACAACUUGGAGAACUUCAUAAAUAGUCAUUGUUCAAAAUCCAUCUAUGAGGCAUUUCAUCAAACACAUAGGGGUCGUGAGUUAAACCAUGAAAUUAGUUUAAUACAUAGGAUAGUAACAUAACUUUUUCACUAAAAUCAUGGGUUAGGAAUUUCAACAUGGAAUUUUUCAUUCUUCAACAUGUCAAGAACUAACUUCAACGAAAAACACAUGUAAACAUGGCAUAAAGUCAAAAUUCAUGGAAGUUCAUGGAUAAGAUUCAUAAAUACAUAUUAAUAUCAAAAUUGAACUUGAAAAUUGGAUUCUUGAACUCCAUCGAUUAAAAGGGUCCAUGAAUCAACAUUGAACAUAUCUUAAUUGAAGAAUUCGUGAAUGUUCUUGGUGGAUUUCUUAAGAAUUAAACUUGAAUGUUGAAGGGGCUAGGGUUUAUUCUUGAGAGAAAUUGCUUUUAAUUUUGGGUAAAGUAUGAAUUAUGAUUCAAAGAUGCUAUUUUGGGACCUAAAUCCUGUGUUACCGUGAGGGGGAAAAAAUAAAACUACCCUACUGCAUUUAAAAUCCAGAACUGGAAUGUCGAUUAAGGCUUCACCGCGAGGUAGUUAUUCCUUCAUCGCUAUACUCACCGUGAUGCGGUACAAUCAUGGUGAGUCACUAGAAAUUGAACAUUACUGAUUUUCCCUUCACCGUAAUGUGGUGACUCCUUCAUCGUAAUACUUACUGCGACGCAGUCUAAUCGCGGUGAGCUGUUGCCUGGAAACAUUUAAAAUUAUAGCUUGAAAUCAAAUUAGCAUGAUAUUCAUGGACAUAAUUCAACUUAAUCAUGUAAAACUCAUAAUUUAAAAAUAAAAAAAUAAAAAGGGAUCUUUGGACUCCAUGGAUGAAAAGGGCCCAUGAAUGAAUAUCACACAUACCUUAAACCUUUAAUCUUGGAAUAGAAACGCCAAUCUUGAUGUCUUCUUGAAGGUUCUUGAAUUUGGGAGCUUGAAUUCUUGGUUUUCUUUGAGAGAAAGUAAUGAAAUUGAUGAAUUUGGGAGAUGAAUAGUGUUUAUUUAAAAGGAGAAUUAAAGAAGAAGAAGAAGGACAAAUAAUGCCCUAACUGGUGAUAUAAGUCAUAAUAUGAAGACUUGGAUUAAGGAGAAAAUACACAAUUGCCCCUCAGGCAAUUAAAUUUGCAAUUGAAUGAUAAUUUAAAGGCUCACCGCAACGCGGCAUUAUCGUGGUGAGUUGCUGGAAUUGUGAUCUAAACGUAACCCAAUCCUCAUCCAAAAAUUUAAAACCUUUCCAAGACAUGAUCCUUACACCCCUGAACAUGAAUUAACUCAAAAACCAAUAUCUCGGGAUUGGAAAGACCAAUUCAAAAAUUCUCAAAGUUAAGAGGCUUUAAAAUGACCAAGUCUCCAACACUUAGUGAAAUUUUUAGGAUUUAAGCCUCUUAUACAUGUAACUAGUAGCUAAACUGAGCUAAGAAUAAUGCGGGGUAUUACAUUAAGAUUGCAUGAUAUGUCCUUUAGCCAAGCAAUAUAGACAAAGAUUUCAAGUUAGUAGUUCUAAAUCUGCACACAUGUUUUAGUUGAUUCACUUAGAUAUUUGGGGACCUCAUAAACACCCCACCUAUGAUGGAAAACAUUAUUUUCUAACCAUAGUAGAUGAUUACAGUAGAUUUACUUGGGUAAUGUUGUUACAUUAUAAGAAAAAUAUCGGUAUUGUUAUUAAGCAUUUCAUCUCUAUGGUAUGUAAUCAGUUUGGUGUUGGAAUAAAAAUUUUGAGAACUAACAAUUGGACUGGAUUCUUUAAUGCUUAUAAGAAAGAUUUAUUGUUACGUCAUGGGAUCAUACAUCAGAGCAGUUGUCCAUAUACACCACAACAAAAUGGUGUGGUUGAAAAAAACACAGGCACUUGUUAGAAGUGGCAAAAGCUUUGAAACUACAGUCACAAAUACCAAAUAGAUUUUGGGGUGAUUGUGUUUUGACAGCAGCCUAUUUGAUAAAUAGGUUGCCCACACCCUUGUUACAUGGGAAAUCUCCUUAAGAGAAGUUAUUUGGAGAACUGCCCACUAUAACAUAUUUGAAAGUGUUUGGUUGUUUGUGUUUUGCAAGUUUCCUACCAAAAGGGGAUAAGUUUGAUGCAAGAGCCAAGGAAUCAAUAUUGAUUGGAUACUCUUCUACUCAGAAAGGAUACAAACUUUAUGAUUUACAUGCUAGAAAUAUCUUCAUUAGUAGGGAUAUGGUAUUCAAAAAACACAUAUUUCCUUUCAAAAGAAAGUCUUUUACUGAUGAUGAGUCCCUUGUACCUCUAAUUCACCUUUUGUGUGUGAUGCAGGAAUCUUUGAUGUUGAUCAUAGUGGUUCAGCACCAUAUCAUACAGUUGGUGAGAUCAUCUCAGAUGCCUCAACAGAUAAUGUGUCUUCUUAUGUUAAUAUUGAUGCAAUGCCUCCAGAACAUAAUACAUCCACAACUCAACCUCUUACAACCGUGCCAGAAGUGGAACAUGAAGUUAUUCCCAUUCCUAUUGUACCAUGUACAGUUAUUCCUGCGGCAAGAAAAAUUGCCAGAGCUACCAAACCUCCAAUUUGGAUCAAAGAUUACGUGGUUCCUGCUAAGCCAAGUCCUCAUUUUAUUACAAACCAUAUAAGGUAUGAUCACUUAUCGACUAGAUAUUAAGCGUAUCUUGCUGCUUUUUCUGCCUUGUUGGAGCCUUAAUCAUUCAAAAAUGCAGUAUAAGAUGAGAAAUAGAUUUUGGCUAUGCAAGAAGAAAUAUAGGCUCUAGGAGAUAAUCACACAUGGACUAUUGUAGAUUUUCCUAAAGGUGCAAAAUCUAUUAGUUCUAAGUGGGAGUACAAAAUAAAAUAUAAAUCAAAUGGAAAGGUGGAUAGGUUCAAAGCCAGGCUUAUGGCUAAAGGUUAUACUCAGAGAGAAGGAAUAAAUUAUCAAGAAACUUUCUCACCAGUGGCUAAAAUGGUCACAGUGAGGACAGUGCUCAACUUAGUUGCAUUUUCUGGUUGGGAAUUGUAUUAGAUGAAUGUCAAUAAUGCUUUAUUAUAAGGUGAUCUGCAUAAAGAUAUUUACAUGGACCUACCUCUUGGUUUUCACAAGAAACAUGAUAAUAAGGUAUGCAAAUUAAAAAAAAUCCCUUUAUGGGUUAAAAGUAGCGUCUAGACAGUGGAACAUCAAGUUCACUGAUGCCUUGUGGCUUUAAGGUUUUAGUCAGAGCUCACAUGAUCAUUCUCUUUUUAUCAAGAAGUAAGGAGGAGAUCUGGUUGAGAUUCUUGUAUAUGUUGAUGAUCUUCUUAUCACUGGUUCCAGUCAUCAAAUGAUUCAAGAGACUAAGUCCAUCCUACAUCAAUACUUCAAGAUAAAAGAUUUGGAACAGUUAAGGUAUUUCUUGGGACUUGAAGUUAUACAAUCCAAAGAUGGGAUUUUACUCAAUUAAAGAAAAUAUGCUCUUCAACUUAUUGCAGAAACAGGACUUAGUGGAGCCAAACCUGUCAGUACACCACAUGAAUUCAAUCAUAAAUGUGUAUUAAUAUGGUAUAAGUGUUGUAUCAAUUUGGUAUAAAAAUUGUAUAUGCAGGAAAAGGCCAAAAUAGCCCAAUAGCUAUUACGAGGUAUUAUUUUGGCCGACUGGCCAUAAAGCGGAAAACUUACCAAAUGCUGGUCAUUUAUUUUCAAAAUGGCCAGUGAGUGUCCUUUCCCCUAUUUUUAAUUUAGACAUACCUAGCUCUUAAGAAUUUUACUCAUUUUUAGAAUAUAAAAAGUAUUUUAAUGCUGUCUUACAUUUAAUUAAAUGCCUUGAAGAAAUUCACUACAAAAAAGAGUACUUUUGAGGGGGUUAUAUUGUAAGGGUGCUUGAAAUCCCCACAAAUAGUAUUGAGUUGUGGCGGUUUGUAAAACCCCUGCCAUUUAAUUUAUUUUGUGGCAUUUUUUGGUUAUACUGCGAGGGUUUUUAAAGCCCCAAUUUAGAAUAUCUCAUUUCCUUAUUUUUUAAUCUUUGGCACCAAAAAAGAAUGCAGCAAAUUCUUCUUUUCUUUUUUUCAUUCUAGUAUUUCUACCUCUUCUGGUUUCAAUUUCUAGGUUUUCUCAGUUCGCUGUGGCUAAGAGGCAAUCUUUCCUCAACUCAAUAUCAUGAAAUUGUAAGCUCCUUUGGUGUAUGAAUUUCUCUCCAUUAUUGGAUUAGGGCUUCGAAUUAGGUCCCAAUGUGGUUCAAGAAAUCAUAGGUUGACUUUAUUUUUAUGAGAAAAUAUUUACAAUCUGCUAUAACUAACCAUCGUGAUGAAUCUUUGUAGGUGAGCCUUUGUUGUAGAAAUAUUGGAAUUCAGUGUUCUUGUUCAAAGUCUAUUGGUUAGAAUCAGCUCGAUGGGGUAGAAUUUUGUUCUACUGAAAGCUCGUCAUCCUAAGUUCAUUGCUCCAAAAAAGGUGAGAAUUUCAUGUCCUUUUUCUUUUUUAUUUAUGUGUCAAAGGUGAGAUUGCAGGUUUCAAGAUGUAGAAUCGAGUAAAGUUUUUUGUUUGGUUGUAUAUUUCUAUUGAAUGGUUGAAUACGUUUUCAAAAUAAAUGUUCAGUUAGUUGUUAUUGUAGGAGUAUGGUGUUGAAGGAAUUAUGUGAUUUAGCAGUUUUGUAAUUCAAAAUUUUGUCUUUCAUUUGGUACAAUGCUUGCGAACACUACCAUCUCCCUUUGUUUUGUUAUGCUUAAGUAAUAUUAUUUGUACCCAUGAUCUAGUUGAAUGAGUGAUCAUGAGUCUAUCUUGCGCGUUUAAUCAUGGUUCGAAACCCGAUAGCGAAGUCGAUUCUCUUUAGCUUAGGUUCACUUUUUUUUAAAAGUCUAAUGGCCGAUUUAUAUUUUCUCAAGUAAUAUCUUUUUUCUGUUUAGCAUGGUUCCAUUAUCUAUACAAAAUACGUCCUUGCCUAGAGUUAAUUUCGAAGUAAAAACUGCUGCUAUGCGCUUAUAUUAAUCAAGUUAGUCACGGACUUUAUGAAUAUGGGUAAAAAUACUAUGUUUUAGUUAAUCACCUUAUAUUAUCAAAAUCGAGUUAGUUGUUUUUAUACGUAUACAUGAAGACUUCCCGUAUAUGAUUAGCCCUGUACCUCUAGUUUAUUCUAUAUUAUUUGAAGUGAACUGGAGUGUUUAAGUUUUCCAUCCAGUAUUUCUCAGUCUAUGUCAAACCUGAUAGCUAUUCUCCACAUUUUCCUAAGCUUGCGUUGCAUUUUUUUAGACUAAUUUGGUAUCUAAUUGUUGGAUUUGAUUAAGACUAAAAUUUGCUUCAAAGUUGUACUUGAUUUUCCCAUGUCAUUUGGAGCUUUAGAAGAAAAGUCAGUUGAAAUUCUUCAAAAGUUAUCCUUAAGCCCCCUCUUUUAGGAAGAGUCAACUCUCAAAAUUGAUUUAUGUUCUAUCACUCUCGUUGUAUGAUUUGGUGCCAACAUUAUUGGAAAGUUGUGGUUUGUAUUGAAAAAAUAAAAGCAAGUCGUGUCUUUUAAAAUGUUUGGAGGCCAGUGUAACAACAAAGAGACUAAGCCCCCUUCAGAUGCACUGUGUGGACUCUUGAUAAUAUAUGAAGACUUCAUCACAAGUUCACGAAGAUUUCAUCUAGAUAUCAGUAAUCUAAAAUUGUCAUAAUGGAAGAAAAUGAUUAAAAAGUUGGUUUUAAGUCUCUGUUCCUUAAUAAUAGUUAUAGGUUGCUUCCAUUAUUUUCUUUGGCUGCCACAAUUCACCAACCUCAGCUCACGUACUCAAAGUAUGUGUAUGAUAUUAAAAAACUGUAGAUUGCAAGAAAUGCACUUUUGGCAUAGUACAUAUACUAGUCAAGUAUCAGAUGAGACUCUAGCUAAAUUUACCUUUCAUUCCUUUGGUUUUUCUAAGGAAUGAUAGCUAAAUUUCAUUGGUUUCCUAUAGCUUUUAUUCGGUUAGAUAGUUUUUAUUUUUAUCUUAUAGUUGUAGUAUUAUCUUAUUUUUGUCUUGCUUGAAGCCGGGGGUCUAUCAGAAACAACCUCUCUACUUCACAUGAGGUAGUGGUAUGGUCUGCGUACACCCUACCCUCCCCAGACCCCACUAUGUGGGAAUAAACUGGAUAUGUUGUUGUUGAUGUUGUUGUAUUUAUUUUCAGAUUGAGAUAUUAUAGUACCUAUUUGUGUUGUAAUUUUUGUUAACUAUUGUUGUACCUAUUUUUGUUCAAAUAAACUAUUACGAUUAAUGAUUCAAAUUGCUUGUUUUUUUUUCUAAAUAGUCUUUGGAUGCUAUCAACUAAGAAAACAAGUUAUUUUCUUAUGACUGUGUAGCCAUGCCAAAGAUUAAAUGUUUUAAAAAUCCAUUAAAAUCAGCUCCUGCAUCACAUGAUACUAAUGGACAUUCUUCAUCACCAAUAAGCCCAUCUCAACCUUCUAUUAGGCCUUUAACAUCAGUACCUCCACCACAUGAUGCACCAAAUUUCUCACGAGUUGAUGAAGUUCAAUAAGUACAAGCCCCAACUCAACCAACGAAUUCAAGCGCAACAUGUGAAUUUGUACCACAUUGGAGAGUACAAACAAUUGGUAUACGGCUUAUAUACUUAACUUGAUUAUGAGCUUUUUAAUUAUUUUUCUCUUAUAAAUGAGUAACUUAUUUUUUUUAUAACAGACUCAGAAAAGAAAAUCAAGAGUAAUAAGCUAAAGGUAAACGAUGUCAACUACCUACCUUUAGGGGAACAUAUAAUUGUGGACUUCGAUGAAUAUGGUGCAGUAAUUGGAGUAGCGCAAGGGUUGCUUGCAGAAUAUUGUGGAACGUUGGCAACUGAUUGCAAUUUAUUCCCUAUUAGUUUUGAAAAGUGGUCAGGGCAAGUUGGUGUUCCUAAAAAGUAUAAAGAAGACUACUUUAUGACAAUUUUAAGGUUCUAAUUUUGUUAUGAAUAUAUUUAUUCUUUGCUGCCAUACUUCUAUACAUGUAUAGAAACUAACUUUGUUUUACUCUUUGAAGUCUCGAUUUUUUUAGGACUACUGAAGUCAUUGCAUAUAGAUUUUGUACUUCCAGCAUUGGAAAGAAGUGGACAACACAUAGACUAAGGACGUAUGACGAAUUUGAUGAUCCAGCCAAAAGUACCAAUGAAUUGAUAAGUAAUGUGCCAAAGGGUAUAAACAAAGAUCAGUGGGCUAGUAUGUUGCUUAUCGUAAAAGACCCUCAAUAGUUGUACGAUUCUGAUUUUUUUACUAAAUUUUACUAUUAUUUUAAUUAAAUAUUAGAUUAACUUUCUAAGUUAUAAUUAUUUUUUUUCGAUAGGCGCUUUGCAAGAGAAAUAAAGAAAUUCAAAGCAAGCAAAAGAUUCCACACACGGGUGGUUCAAAAUCAUUGGCAAGAAGACGACAUGAGAUAGUAUGCAUAUCAACUUACAAAUAUUUACUUUUUCUCUAAUUUAAAUGUCUUACUAUAAUUUGUUUAAUACUCUUUUUCUUUAAUUUUUGUCAAUAAGAGUAAAACCUAGUCGGGGAUAAAUGUAUCUCGAAACUCAUAAAAGGACAGGUGGAUCAUUUGUAAACGAAGAGGCAAGAAUUUUAGGGGUAAGUUUAACUUUGUCUGUGUUAUUUUGUCCGUGAAAUGGAUGUGGAUUUUUGAAAUUUCAUUUUAGGCUGAAUAGUUGGAUUUUGAAUAACAAACUACUAUGCAUGUUAUAGAGUGGUACUAAUAUCAAACUCCUAUUAUGAGAACAAAUUUUGAAUAGAUUUCAUAUUAGAAUUAUGAGAAGUUUGACUAGAUUUCAUAUUAGAGUUAUGAGAAGUGUUUAAAGAAAUGCUUAAAAUGAAAAAAAAGAAGAGUGAUUAGAUAAUAAGGUAGCAUAUCAGUGCUAAUAAAACAUAAAGUAGCUUUAAUACUUUGUUUGAGUCUUCAAAAGAAGGAAAAACAGAGGAGUAGAUAAAAAGAUUUCAAUUCAGUGUUUUAAAUAAUACCUGACAGUAUUUAUCAAUAAUAAUAAUAAUAAUAAUAAUAAUUCUUGACAGCUUAAUUUGAAUAAUUAGGAAAAAUCUUUCAAUAAAGGGAAGUAAGUCGAGUUUAUCUAGGUAGGAGGUGGUACUAGAGAGACUUGAAUUAUGCAUCUGUGUGUAAUCUGUUUCAAGUAAGUCAAUUGUGUAUCUGUGUGUAAUCUGCUUCAAGUAAGUACUUUACUAAGUAAGUCGAAUUAUGCAUUUGUGUGUAAUCUUUCAAUAAUGAGAAAUAAUCUGUUUUAAGUGUUGUAUUAAAGAAUUGUUGCAGUAUGAAUAGAUAUUGCUAAUAGUAUCCAUUGAAUUAUGCAUAUGUAUGUCUGACAGCUUGAGUUAAAGUCUACAAAAUGAUUUGGUGAUCGCUUUCACAUACAAUUCUGACUUUGUUGAGAUUUACUGGCACUUGUAUCUGCUACUUUCUCUUAGAUCCACAGAUUAAUCUAUAGAGUUAUAAUCAUGGUGUUGAAGUCAAUUUCUUAUUUGUUUGGUCUUGUGUUAUUAUAAUCAAAAUUUAUUAUUUAGAUCCGUAUUGAGAGUUACUAGAGGGUAUCCAAUCCAAAUGUUAUUUUUAAUUUACUAAUUAAUUAUUUAUCUGUGGUAGGAACAAAUUGAGUCAUAUGUGACUCAAUACAAUGAAUCGGAAGCUUCCCCUAGUGAUAUUAUUGGCAAGUUGUUUGGGGAAGAGAACUCGGGAAGGGUGCGAUGUUUAGGUAUGGGAGCAGUUCCUUCAAACACAUUCAGAAAUACCAAAAAAUGACUUAGUAAUCUGAAUUGUUCCUCAUCUAACGUUGGUGCGUCAUCCUCAACUGAUACCUAUUUACAUCAAAAGGUCUCUCGUUUAAAAUAUCAAUUAGAAGGAGCUUUGAACGCUUUGAAGACUUACAUGAUAUCAAAGAAAAGAAGUGUUCUUGAUGAAUUUGUUGGCUUGUUUGCUCCUCAACCACAGGUACUAAGUAAGUGUACAUCUAUGUAGUUGAUUAUUAAUCGAUUUUUCAUCAAAUAUUUUUUUCUUUAUUUCAGUCGAAUGAUUCCAAGUGUGAGCCUACUUCACCAGUAGAUACAAGCGGAGCAGCGGGUGACAAUGACGCAAAUCAUCUAUAAAGUACUUAGUUUUUAUGUUUAAAUUAUGGAAUCAUUUUUGUGGAUUUAUAUUACUCUACUGUUUUACAAACAGUUAGUUAAAAUUUAACUUGGAAUGUGAUAUUUGAAUUUUUGUAAACUGUAGUUUGAGCUAGGAAUGGUAUUUGAAUUUAAGUUAACUGUAGUUUGGGAUGUGUUACAUGAAUUUGUGACUUUUAAUGUUAUUGAUAUUUUUAAUGCGAUUCAGUGUACAUCUUAUAAGUUAUCGGCACAUGAUUAUAACAUAGCUCUAAUUAAAUCAUACAAUUAAAAAGUAUAUUACUAAGAAAAAAAUUACACUGUGCAAUAACUUGGAUUACAGCAUUUACAGACCCUCACAAAUGAUGCUAUUUUGAAUAUGAAGAAUUAUAUUGAGUGAUUUAUAAAUCUCCACUAAUUAUAUUUUGAAAAAAUAGGAAUCAUAUUUGGGGGGUUUUAAACCGUCAGCAAUUGGCUUUAAAAAACCGCCACAAUAUUGGAAUUAAUUUUGCAGUGGUUUCUUUCACAAUUGCGACGUUUGCUAAAAACUGUCACAAUAUUGCUUGUAGCGAUGCUAACUGCAGUGGUUCUUAAAACUGCCACAAAAUUUUUUGUGGGGGUUCCAAACUGCCAAUCGAGCAGAAUAAUUUCCGCAAAUUUAACCUUUUUUUGUAGUGAAAAAUUAACUCUUUAAUAGUGUAAAACUCCAUAUAUUAAAAUAGAGAGAAUUUUAGAAGAAAAAAGAUAGUUUUUCUUGAUUAUAUAAAACCACUUAUUUGAAAUAGAAUGAAAAAAAUAAAAACACUGAUUAUUUUGAAAAGCAGAACAUACCAAGUGCCAAGAACACCGCUAUGUGCCCACCAAAAAGUAGAGUAUAUCAAAUCUUGAUAAAUACUAAACAAUCAUAUUUCAUCAUAUUAUCAUCUUCUAUAUCUGAUAGUAAUUUUAUGAAUUGAGAUAUUUUAUGAAAUUAAUUAUUUUACCGUUAUAUAUGAAAUAACUACUCCAUCAUUAUAAUAGAAAUAUAGAGCAAAUAAGUUAACAAUAUUUCUAAUCAAACACAAAAUAAAAUAAUAUUACAUCUGAAAAUUUGUAUUAUUUUUUAGACAAAUUACAUAAUAUCACACCUUAACUUACCAUUAUUAUUUAAAAUCCCGAUUCUUUAAAAUAAUAAUAUAAAUCUCUUUUUUUACUUUCUCUCUCUAAACUCUAGGAUAUAUUACAUCACCCCAAAUCUCAAAUUCAAUUCAUUUUUUCCUCCAUACCUGCCCUUACACUAUUUCUCUUCAUCUCAAUGUUUACAUUUUUUUUCUUUUUUUCUAGGCCUAGAGAAGUUAUCAUUUUCUUCAGUCACACGUUAUGACUAUGCAAAACUAUUAAACCUUCAACACUUCAACAAUAGCGAGCACCACCACUAAACUCCUCUGUAUCCGCCCUAAAUUCAAACGUUCCCUACACCAAAAGCUCUUUUGGUGUCUCGUAUGUGAGGAUUACUAGCGAUGGUGGCCUGAGAUAGAGGCAAAGGGGGUAGGGAUGGAGUAUGAAGGGAGUUCACAAAUUCGUCAAUCGAGGUUCAAGAUGAUAAUGUUAAUAGAGAUAGAUAAUAAGGUUGUAUCUGCUAAGAGAGUUCGGAGAUACAUAAAAAUAAUGUAUAUGAUUGAAAAGAACAAGAACAUACAUCACGCGAUCCUCCAUCAAAUGUACAAAAGUUAUAUAUCUUACUGAAUAUUAGGUUACAAAUACAUAAGAAAAGAUGAUGUCUUUGGUUGAAAUCUGACCAAAAUCAUGUAUCGAAAUGAUUUUUGUGCUACUGAUAUAUAAUACUUAUGUAUCUGAAUAUAUUCCUGUGAUACUAAUACAAAAGAGUUAUGUAUUAGGAAGGUUAUGUAUCUGAGCCUCAAUAAUGUAUCACAAAAACUAAAACUCAA
rnacentral:lncRNA from 1 species